rnacentral:rRNA from 1 species
GUAUAUGAGGUGAUUAAUUGGAGGGCAAAUCAAGUGCCAGCAGCCGCGGUAAUACUUGUUCCAAGAGUGUGUAUGAUGAUUGAUGCAGUUAAAAAGUCCGUAGUUUAUUUUUUAAGAAGCAAUAUGAGGUGUACUGUAUAGUUGGGAGAAAGAUGAAAUGUGACGACCCUGACUGGACGAACAGAAGCGAAAGCUGUACACUUGUAUGUAUUUUUUGAACAAGGUGCGUAAGCUGGAGGAGCGAAGAUGAUUAGAUACCAUUGUAGUUCCAGCAGUAAACUAUGCCGACGAUGUGAUAUGGAAAAUAUUAAUUUGUAUUACAUAAUAGAAAUUUGAGUUUUUUGGCUCUGGGGAUAGUAUGAUCGCAAGAUUGAAAAUUAAAGAAAUUGACGGAAGAAUACCACAAGGAGUGGAUUGUGCGGCUUAAUUUGACUCAACGCGAGGUAACUUACCAAUAUUUUAUUAUUUUGAGAGAACGGUUUUUUGUUUGAGAAUGAUAAUAGUGGUGCAUGGCCGUUUUCAAUGGAUGCUGUGAAGUUUUGAUUAAUUUCAACAAGACGUGAGACCCUUAUUUUUUAUUAAAGACAGACACAAUCAGUGUAGGAAGGAAAGGAUUAAAACAGGUCCGUUAUGCCCUCUGACAUUUUGGGCUGCACGCGCAAUACAAUAGAUAUA